GACUUCUUCGUCUAGGGGCAGGACAUCGCUUUUUCAUAGCGAGAACGUCGGUUCGAUUCCGACAGAAGUCA
rnacentral:tRNA from 2 species